GCCUUCGUAGCGCACGGUGCGCACCUCACAUUCAUGCAUCGAUCGCGAUAACAAUGGACGGUUUAUGAGGCUUGGGGUUCGACUCCCCACGAAGGCU